rnacentral:rRNA from 1 species
UACGUAGGUGGCAAGCGUUGUCCGGAAUCACUGGGCGUAAAGCGCGCGCAGGCGGCGAUCUACGUCUGGGGUGAAAGCCCGGAGCUCAACUCCGGGACUGCCUUGGAUACGGGAUCGCUUGAGGAUUGGAGAGGCAAGGGGAAUUCCACGUGUAGCGGUGAAAUGCGUAGAGAUGUGGAGGAACACCUGUGGCGAAGGCGCCUUGCUGGCCAAUUACUGACGCUGAGGCACGGAAGCGUGGGGAUCAAACAGG